UUCGCAAUGCCCGAAAGGGUGACGAAGCGACGCCGCGUGCGGGAAGAAGGCCUUCGGGUUGUAAACCGCUGUCGGGAGUUAAGAAAUGCAAGGAUAUUAAUAGUAUCUUUGCUUGACUAAGGCUCCGGAGGAAGCCACGGCUAACUCUGUGCCAGCAGCCGCGGUAAUACAGAGGCGGCAAGCGUUGUUCGGAAUUAUUGGGCGUAAAGAGUACGUAGGCGGCUAUGUAAGUCGGUUGUGAAAGCCUUCCGCUCAACGGGAGAACAGCAUCCGAUACUGCAUAGCUUGAGUGCGAGAGGGGAGAGUGGAACUUCUGGUGGAGCGGUGAAAUGCGUAGAUAUCAGAAGGAACGCCGGCGGCGAAAGCGACUCUCUGGCCCGUAACUGACGCUGAGUGUGCGAAAGCUAGGGGAGCAAACGGGAUUAGAUACCCCGGUAGUCCUAGCCGUAAACGAUGGGCACUAAGUAGAGGGGUUUU
rnacentral:rRNA from 1 species